rnacentral:lncRNA from 1 species
AGGCUGGGCUGCCCUUCCCCCUGCUCCGGGCUCCCGCUAGCCGUCUCGCCCGGAAAUGCGGCUACGACUUGCAGCCUAACCCAGAGGCUAACCCGGGCGUGAUUGCACCUCUGCUGCUCUGCUAUCUCGGGUGCUCAGAGACAAGGAUCCUAACCCGGCAUGGGGCUAAUAAGAGCGUGUUAUCUGUAUGCAAACCCCUGGGAAAUAGUCGUAAUUGUCUUCGUUUAUCCACAGACCACUGUCUCCAUUUGACCAGUUUCCUGAGGCUUGGAGAAGAGAUCCUCUCCAGAGAUUAUCCAGAUGGGUCUCAUGUAACCAAGUUGGCCUCAGACUCUUGGACCUUGGACUUCUGUCCUGUUUCCAUCUCUGGUGCUCAGGUUUCGGACCCAUGACGAUGGGGAAGAAGAAAGAAGCCAGCCCAGGCGUUAUCUCUGCCCCUAAGCUGUUAACGUGGAGGCCUCCUUCUCAUGCCCUCUUGACUUCUAGCUAUGGGACCAAAGUGAUAUGGAUUAAAACCUCUGGAACAAUGAGC